UGGGUGCCCGCAGCCAGCCGGGUGUGCGCGCAUGGGGACGAGGAGACUGUGCUGGAGAUGGCUGUGGGAGCCCGAGGGCAACCAUGGCACCCAGGGCUACCUGGGCUCUCUCCCCAGACCACCCCUCCUUGGGCCCAAGUCACCGGGCAAGCAAGUGGAGAAAGGAGAUCAGAGACAGAGGGACCCAUAGGAAGCUGUGGCAGAAGUCCAGCCAAGAGAUGGAAGGACCCCCUCUGGGGCAGUCUCCAUCACAGGAAGGAUACUCUGAUGCCACCAAAUCGACUGCCAGAUCCAUGAGCCCAGAGCACUGCAGGCAUGCCCAGAUGAAUGUGGUCACCCCCAAAAGGAAGGCUCCUCCCCAGCAUGGACAAGGCCCAGUGACUGUCACAGUCGCAGCAUCUGGAGAGAAAGAAGGGAGAGACCCCGUAAGUCCAGGUUGCUGAGAAACACGACGGUGUUGUCUACACAGUAGAGUGGCACAUGGAAAAGACUGGAGCCUGGGACACCAGAGCUCGGCCGGCCCUGUCCUGGCAAUACAGCUUCCCUAGGCGCUUAGCUUCGGGCGGAUUCCACUCUGAGGCUGGGAGGGAGAGGGCUGCCCGGGGCGCGCUGGAGGGCUGAAGAUUCCCUCCUUCGAACCCUCAUUUUCAGAGACACACACUGUUUUGCUCUGCAUGUGCCCUUACUCGCUGACUUGCAGCAAGCAGGAAAACCCUUGGCUUCCCACCUUUUAAAAAAAUAAAGAUUAUGGGGCACCUGAGUGGCUCAGUUGGUUAAGC